rnacentral:lncRNA from 10 species
UUGGAUGCCCUUGUUCAAUGGCUGCACAGCUCGAUAAAGGCAGUGCCCAGGUCGUUUGCCUGCAUAGUUUUGCAGCCCUUUUGAUAGACCAGAUGGGAGUGAUGACUUCCUUAACCCCUAUCAGACACAGAGCAUGAGAUGCUCUUCAAUCUUAUCAGACUUGGCAGUCCCCAAAAAUGCAGACAUCAUUACUCCACAUGCAUAACUAGCUUCUGUUUAAUGGCAUGUUGUUGUUUACUGUUACACCUAUCACAAAGGAAAACAUCAUCUGAGAGCUUACAUAUUGCAGGCCGUCAGGUACAGACAGACAUACCCCAGAGUUGGGGUGCCCAUUAGCAGAUCACACAGGCCUCUGCAGCUGUGUUUUGAUUAGCGGAAGAGGUUCUUUGGCAUCGGAGAACUGAAAUCACCUUUUAGGGUAUGACAAGCUCAGCCGAGCGUCUCGCAAAUGAAAAUCAGAGGUUUCUCUAAGGAAGGAGUGAGAGCAACCAUACAGAAUUAAAAGGCGAAUAACCUUUAAUGGUUUCAGGUGUGAACGCUCAGUGACGCUGAAGGCCUGCCAUCCAUGAGACAGCACGAUGUUCCAGGAUCUCUCCAGGCCCACAUUUACCCCCAUAUAUGCCUCUGGAAGGAGGGGACAGC